rnacentral:misc_RNA from 1 species
GCCAUUUUUAAUCCAACUGCAACACUUAUUUUCCUGCAUUCUUUCUCCCUUUUUACUUUUUUUUUCUUCUCUUCUCUCCUCAUUCUCUCUUCUUCUAUGCUUUCUUCUCUCAUAGUCACGCCAUUUUUAAUCCAACUGCAACACUUGUUUUCCUACGUCCUUUUUGCCUUUUUACUUUUCUUUUUUUUUUCUCUUCUCUCCUCCUCCUUUCUUCUUCUAUGCUUUCUUCUCUCAGAGUCAUGCCAUUUUUAAUUACCCCGCAGCCGCUUUUUUUUUUCUUUUUAAUUUAUUGUUUCAUUGUUUAUUAUAUGGGCAUUGUGAUAUGUAUUUUUAGAUUGAUAUUGUCAAUUUUGAUAUGCUUUUUAUUAAAU